UACGUAGGGUGCAAGCGUUGUCCGGAAUUAUUGGGCGUAAAGAGCUCGUAGGCGGUUUGUCGCGUCUGCUGUGAAAACUCGGGGCUUAACUCCGGGCCUGCAGUGGGUACGGGCAGACUAGAGUGCGGUAGGGGAGACUGGAAUUCCUGGUGUAGCGGUGAAAUGCGCAGAUAUCAGGAGGAACACCGGUGGCGAAGGCGGCAUCCUGGACCACGACUGACACUGAAAAGCGAAAGCCAGGGGAGCAAACGGG
rnacentral:rRNA from 1 species